rnacentral:ncRNA from 2 species
UGAGGGCGUCGCGACUGGCGUUCGGAUGGGUGACCAUCAGGGAGCGGCACCUCCUCCGGCGCACCUCUGCCGGACACUUUUCCUGCCGCACGCCUGGGUCGGAACG